rnacentral:rRNA from 1 species
UACAGAGGUCUCAAGCGUUGUUCGGAAUCACUGGGCGUAAAGGGUGCGUAGGCUGCACGGUGAGUCAGAGGUGAAAUCCCGGAGCUCAACUUCGGAAUUGCCUCCGAUACUGCCGUGCUUGAGGACUGGAGAGGAGAUUGGAAUUCACAGUGGAGCAGUGAAAUGCGUAGAUAUUGUGAGGAACACUAGUGGCGAAGGCGAAUCUCUGGACAGUUCCUGACGCUGAGGCACGAAGGCCAGGGGAGCAAACGGG